UUGAAAGAUAACCUCUUGGACCUGGAAUUUCUAUUUUUUUAUUUCAUCUACUAUGUUUCUGAUCAUCGAUUUGUCAAUAUUCGCUAACUUUAGUUUUUUUUAUCACUUUUAGUGCGUUCCCCUCCACUACUGCAUCACUGAACCCUAUUUCUUCCCCAAAAGUAACAGCUUGUAGAGAGGCUCUAGCUUUCACAGUGAUCGGGUCUCGAGCAUUUUCUACCGGGUAACGCAUGAAUCCAUUACCAACCCCUCGCUAUUUCUUAUUAUUAUGCCCGUUGUUGCUUUAUUUUCCUGCUGUUGAUAUGCUGCAUUAAAAUUUAUUUUGACCUACUUUGCCUCUAGGGGCCUCCAAUGUUCUUUUCUUGACUUAUAUAUGCUUUGAUGAAAUUCACUACAUCCUGAACCCUUUCCUUCUUCCCCUCAUGAUAGCAUUUAUUCCUAUUAAACCAUAUGUCCCAGAGUGAAAUGGCCAUUAUAAUACAUAUUUGCAUGUUGUUUUUGAAAAAGAGUACUAACCAAUGCUUCCACUCUUGUUCAAUAUUUGUUUGCAAGAUAUCCACACCAACCCCUUGAAAAACCAUUUUCGUGAACCUGCAGUCUCGGAAGAGGUGGGCCACAGUUUCAUCUUCCUCCAAACAGAUUGGGCAAAGCGCAUCUUCCCUAAGCCUUCGUAAUUUUAGAUUACUUAGGGUCGAUAAGUAGUUGUUUGUUAUCUUCCAUAGGUUUAUUUCUAUUUUAUUGGAUAUUGUAAGAUUCCAUAGUCUUGUAAAGUAAUUUCUUAUAUCUUUUGAAUUGGUUGUAACAUUAUUUCCCAGUAGGUGAAUAUCCUCUGUUAUUAACCAUUUGUAACCACUAUUUACUGUGUAUUCACCCGAUCUGUCCCCCCGCCAUAUUGUCUCAUCUGACUGCGUACCACUCACCAAAGGAAUCAACAAAAUUGCCUCGGCUUGUUCUAUGUUGAAUAAAUUGUAGAUGUUAUAUUGUUUUCAGGGGUAGGCAGCCACGCAUCGUUCCAUAUAUUUGUCGUUUCGCCAUUUCCUAUUCUCCAUCUCGUGCCCUUUUCUAAUAGACUACGGGCACCCCAAAUGCUACACCAGGUAAAAUAUGGGUAAGAACCUAAACUCGCACUCAUGAAAUCCCCUCGAGGGUAAUACUUAAUUUUCAUUACUCAAGUAAGUAAGCUAUUAGGAUUGGUGAUUAGUUUCCAUCCCUGUUUAGCCAACAUGGCUAUAUUAAAUUUUGAUAACUCCUUAAACCCCAUUCCCCCUUACGCUUUUGGGCUGCACAUAGAAGUUUAGCUACUCCAAUGAAUUCCUUAGUUAGAUUUCAAA